rnacentral:rRNA from 1 species
CCUACGGGAGGCAGCAGUGGGGAAUAUUGCACAAUGGGGGAAACCCUGAUGCAGCGACGCCGCGUGAGCGAGGAAGUAUUUCGGUAUGUAAAGCUCUGUCAGCAGGGAAGAAGAAUGACGGUACCUGAAGAAGAAGCACCGGCUAAAUACGUGCCAGCAGCCGCGGUAAUACGUAUGGUGCAAGCGUUAUCCGGAUUUACUGGGUUUAAAGGGUGCGUAGGCGGAAUGCCAAGUCAGCGGUAAAAUCGCGGGGCUCAACCUCGCUCCGCCGUUGAAACUGGCGUUCUUGAGUGGGCGAGAAGUAUGCGGAAUGCGUGGUGUAGCGGUGAAAUGCAUAGAUAUCACGCAGAACUCCGAUUGCGAAGGCAGCAUACCGGCGCCCAACUGACGCUGAAGCACGAAAGCGUGGGUAUCGAACAGGAUUAGAUACCCCUGUAGUC